AUUGGUCGCGUUCACCAGAAUAAUCCGAGUGCAAUCCGAUUAAUUUGCGCUGAAACGCUGACAGUUUUUUUACUAGUGAACGACUGACGUUUGACAUUCGAUUGAGAGUGUUCUGUGUUCCAUUUGUUUAUGUUUUUAUUCUUUGUUUAUAUAAUUUAUAACCUAGACAGUUUUGUCUUUAAAUAAAACUGAAACUAUGUCUAAGCUAAAAUGGAUAAUAUUCUUGAAGAAUUUUUGUUUGGGGACGAAAUUAGCAAAUGCCGUUAUACAUUUAGCAGAUGUACCUGCCUCACAAUUAUUCCAGAAGGAUGAGAUGAAAUUAAAUAUAUAUAAACCAUAAUUCAAUAUCCAAUUUAGAGAACAUUUUCGUAUGUCCAGAACUACUUUCCAGGAACUAUUUAAUUGUAUUGGUCAUAUCCACCAAUUUGAAAACAGAAUAAUUCUAUUGGAAAAAAUUAAUGUUUAUGAUGUGGAUGCUAAGUAAACCAGAGAAUUUGUUGCUGGGGAUACGUUUGGUUUGCCAAAGAGCUCUGGACAUAAGAUUUUCACCCAAAUAAUAUAGAAUUACAAAAAAUUGGAAAUAACUAAUCUUGAAUAUCAAUGUGUAUAUUGAGUUUAAUUUUAUUGUAAAUAUUCUAUAAUAUAAUUUUAUUGUAAAUAUUGUAUUAACACAUCUUCAUAUGCAGACAGUAAUUUCCCUUUGUAAGUACAUGCAUAUUAGUCGUAUCUGCGAAUGGGUUAAUUGUAAAUCGUAAUCAAUAAAAAUUUUUUGUGAAUCAAUAAAAAACUGGUUUGUUUGAAAAUAAAUGUAGUACAAAUGUG